UGGAACUGAUUGAAUGGAAGGAGCUUCUGUUGUUCAUACAAGUCAUGUUUCUGAUUUUUUGGAUGAAUUGGGUGUGUGAAAUUGCAUGGAACUGAUCAAAUGAACAUGGAAUUUCUAUUGGGAAGAAACACCGACUCCUCAGAAGGCCGUAGACAGUACGGUCAUUGGAUUCUCUGCAAGUUGCUGAAAAUGUAAAGAUUCUUCUUUUGCGGGUCACAGAUAUCUGAUGUCGUUGAUGAGGAAGUCUGCAAGCUGGAUGAAAAGUUCAAGGAAGGGAGUCAUGUUCGAGUUCGUGUUCUUUGCUUUAGGCAUCUGUAAGGAUUGACAAUGGAUGUUUUAA